GGUGAUCGGCCACACUGGGACUGAGACACGGCCCAGACUCCUACGGGAGGCAGCAGUAGGGAAUCUUCCGCAAUGGACGAAAGUCUGACGGAGCAACGCCGCGUGAGUGAUGAAGGUUUUCGGAUCGUAAAGCUCUGUUGUUAGGGAAGAACAAGUACCGUUCGAAUAGGGCGGUACCUUGACGGUACCUAACCAGAAAGCCACGGCUAACUACGUGCCAGCAGCCGCGGUAAUACGUAGGUGGCAAGCGUUGUCCGGAAUUAUUGGGCGUAAAGGGCUCGCAGGCGGUUUCUUAAGUCUGAUGUGAAAGCCCCCGGCUCAACCGGGGAGGGUCAUUGGAAACUGGGGAACUUGAGUGCAGAAGAGGAGAGUGGAAUUCCACGUGUAGCGGUGAAAUGCGUAGAGAUGUGGAGGAACACCAGUGGCGAAGGCGACUCUCUGGUCUGUAACUGACGCUGAGGAGCGAAAGCGUGGGGAGCGAACAGGAUUAGAUACCCUGGUAGUCCACGCCGUAAACGAUGAGUGCUAAGUGUUAGGGGGUUUCCGCCCCUUAGUGCUGCAGCUAACGCAUUAAGCACUCCGCCUGGGGAGUAC
rnacentral:rRNA from 1 species